rnacentral:rRNA from 1 species
AGAGUUUGAUCCUGGCUCAGGAUGAACGCUGGCGGCGUGCUUAAUACAUGCAAGUCGAACGAAGCACCUUGGACAGAAUCCUUCGGGAGGAAGACCAUUGUGACUGAGUGGCGGACGGGUGAGUAACGCGUGGGUAACCUGCCUUGUACAGGGGGAUAACAGUUGGAAACGACUGCUAAUACCGCAUAAGCGCACAGUACCGCAUGGUACGGUGUGAAAAACUCCGGUGGUACAAGAUGGACCCGCGUCUGAUUAGCUAGUUGGUGAGGUAACGGCCCACCAAGGCGACGAUCAGUAGCCGACUUGAGAGAGUGAUCGGCCACAUUGGGACUGAGACACGGCCCAAACUCCUACGGGAGGCAGCAGUAGGGAAUAUUGCACAAUGGGGGAAACCCUGAUGCAGCGACGCCGCGUGAAGGAAGAAGUAUUUCGGUAUGUAAACUUCUAUCAGCAAGGAAGAAAAUGACGGUACUUGACUAAGAAGCCCCGGCUAAAUACGUGCCAGCAGCCGCGGUAAUACGUAUGGGGCAAGCGUUAUCCGGAUUUACUGGGUGUAAAGGGAGCGUAGGCGGCAUGGCAAGUCAGAAGUGAAAGCCUGGGGCUCAACCCCGGAAUUGCUUUUGAAACUGUCAGGCUAGAGUGUCGGAGGGGUAAGCGGAAUUCCUAGUGUAGCGGUGAAAUGCGUAGAUAUUAGGAGGAACACCGGUGGCGAAGGCGGCUUACUGGACGAUUACUGACGCUGAGGCUCGAAAGCGUGGGGAGCAAACAGGAUUAGAUACCCUGGUAGUCCACGCCGUAAACGAU